rnacentral:rRNA from 1 species
UACGUAGGGUGCAAGCGUUGUCCGGAAUUAUUGGGCGUAAAGAGCUUGUAGGCGGUUUGUCGCGUCUGCUGUGAAAUUUCGGGGCUCAACCCCGGACUUGCAGUGGGUACGGGCAGACUAGAGUGUGGUAGGGGAGACUGGAAUUCCUGGUGUAGCGGUGAAAUGCGCAGAUAUCAGGAGGAACACCGAUGGCGAAGGCAGGUCUCUGGGCCACUACUGACGUUGAGAAGCGAAAGCAUGGGGAGCGAACAGG